CCUACGGGAGACAGCAGUGAGGAAUAUUGGUCAAUGGACGAGAGUCUGACCCAUCAACGCCGCGUGAAGGAAGAAGGCUUUCGGGUUGUAAACUUCUUUUGUCAGGGAAGAGUAGAAGACGGUACCUGACGAAUAAGCAACGGCUAACUACGUGCCAGCAGCCGCGGUAAUACGGAGGUGGCAAGCGUUGUCCGGAUUUACUGGGGGUAAAGGGCGUGUAGCCGGGUUGACAAGUCAGAUGUGAAAUCCUGCGGCUUAACCGCAGAACUGCAUUUGAAACUGUUGAUCUUGAGUACUGGAGAGGCAGACGGAAUUCCUAGUGUAGCGGUGAAAUGCGUAGAUAUUAGGAGGAACACCAGUGGCGAAGGCGGUCUGUUGGACAGCAACUGACGGUGAGGCGCGAAAGCGUGGGGAGCAAACAGGAUUAGAUACCCCAGUAGUC
rnacentral:rRNA from 1 species